ACAGGUCUUUUCCCAGGAUCGUACCUGACUCUUCUAAUUUAUCCGAAGCGAUUCUCAAAUUCUUUCAAAGUUCGACAUAAGAAUGAUUUCUCAUUGGUCAAAUGUGUCCUCCAAGUUCGCUUUCAUAUUCUUUUCAUCGUUGGUUCAACCUUUCUAUUCUUCAUUCCGGAAUGCCUCAACAAUUCAUGGUGGUGUUUCUCAUCAUCUUUCUCAACAUUUGAAGACCGAAGAAGAGUUUCUCUUCAAUCUUAUCCGUUCUCUCAAAGAUGCGCGGUUCUAACUUGUUGCCAUCCUCUCAUAAUGGUUUCUAUCGUGAGAAAUUCUUUUCACCCAUCCGGAGUAAUUCAAGAGUCUCUUCAGAUUGAUUCUCCGUAGCCCAUCAUCUCAGAAUUAUUAAUUCUCAGCUUUCAGCUCUCGUUCUCGAAUUCUUCCGGUGCAUCGUUCAAGUAUCCUCAUGAUCUCUUCGUUCUCAGGUAUCUAAAUCCCCUCAAGUAUCUUCAUUCGUUUUCCAAUUCUUCCCGGUGAAUUGUGCCCUUGCUACUUUCAUUUUCAAUUCAUAUGGCGGUUUGUUCAAGAUUCCUCUUCCUAUGUUCUCAUAUUAAUUUAUUCGUUGUUUCAAUCCUGUCGGUGGUUCGUUGAAGACCUUCUCAAGUUUACGCUAUAUCUCUCUUAAUCCUUUCUACGAGAAUAAGAAGUAUGCAAAAUCCGUUGCUUGUCAUAAAUUUAAAUUGGUGAAGGAUACGCUUAAGAUAAUUCUUAUUCUUGUUUCAUCCAAGUGUUUAAUUAUUUCUACCGGAGUUUGUCCGUGAUAUCAAUUUCUCAGUUAUAUGUUGUUCAUCUUUCUUUCCGGAGUUCCAAGUUUUCUCGGUUAUAUCGUCCCGAAGCUUCAUCUAAAUCAUUGCAAGGCUUCACCUUGUGUUGUCAACUUCUCUUUCUUUCUAUCAUCCUUUUAUUACCGGAGUUCUUCAUGGAGGCUCUAAAUGGUGGUUCGUCAAGGAUUCUUUUCAUUCUUCAAUUAUUCUUCAAGAAUUCUCUCGAAGUUAUGAUCCGCCAAGCUAUAUUCAAAAUUAAACAGGGUGCUCAACGCAUGUCUUGUUUUCAGGAGUUCAAGCAUUCUUCAUCUUGCAUUCUGAAGUGCAAUUCUUUCUAUCUUAUCUUUUGAGGUGGUGUUAUGUCAUUUUGACAGUUUCCUUCAUGUUUCAUGAUUGACAAGUUGUCAGAAAUGAGAUAUUUAAACCCAUCAUUUUCUUCCUUGGAGUUAUCUUGGGUUAUAUUUUACCUAAAGCCUUCCCUAAGGAAUGUUGCUAUUGUGGUGCUUAUCGAUUGUCGAAGUUAUCUCUUGAUCAUCUUGAUGGAAGAAGUUUUUCAUCUCGUUGGUGCUAUCAUUUAUAUUAUUUGUUUCCGUAGUGGCAGAUAUUUGCCUCAAUUGUGAGAAGUUUUCCAUAAGCCCACUACAAGCUUAUCCGUUUCGUUGUUGGUUUCUCCAACAACCCCGUUAUAAUCCUUCUUGGAAGGGUGCUUUCCAAGCUCAUUUGUGGCAGAAGUUGUCAUUUUCUUCUCCGUCCCUUUAUCCGAACAAUCUAGCUUCUAUUCUUUCCUUCUGGAGGCACUGUGAUGUUGCUCUCUUCACUCAUCAUCUCGAAUUGAGGAUCGUGUUCUUUUCGUGCUUAUCGAUUUAACCGAACUGCCGUGUCCUCUUUUCAAGUUCUUCCCAUUUUGUCAAGUUUUGCUUCCUUUUUCUACCGGAGUGCUACCUGCAUUCUUUCGUUCUCACUCUUUGCUUAUUCCGUUUCAACCGGAGUGGUUACAUGUCCUUCCUUGUCGCUGGAACUCUUCAUUCAUGUCUUUGCAACCCCAAGGUUUUCGCAAUGUUCAUUGUUCCUCUUGUCCAACGGACUGUUUGCAAUCUCAUUCAUCUCCAUUGUAUUCUUUCUUUCAAUUUGUUCAACCUCUCAAGGUUCAUGGUUUCACUCGUUUGUCAAGAAGCAACUUAGUUUUACCUCUUCUUCCGUUUCUCUCCGGUGCCAUCUCUAGAUCUCGGGGCGAGAUCUCUUGUAAGUAGAGGAGAGUUGUAACGACCUGGGACCGACGCUCCAGACGCCUUCCAUGUUCUUCGUUGUCGUCGUGUGUUUUAUUUUAUUUGUUUGUUGCAUUCAUCAUCGCAUCAUGCGCAUUGCAUUUGCAUGUUUUCAUAUAGCUGGCAUCCGUUCGUAGUUGCUGUGUCCCCUGCCUUCGUUGACCGUUCUGAGUCCCAUCGGGUUUUUGCUUCCCUCUUGACCGUGACCGCCAAAGCCCCUUUGCGUGCGUGUCCGAAACUGCCACGAACCUGAACCGAGCUGUCAUCACUGAUGGGUCCGGAUCAUCCCCAAACAUCUCCAAAAUAUCUUCGUUUCUGCACUGGACUCCCCUAACCUUUUAUUCUUGACUGUCCGAUCGCGAUCCGAUGAUCAAAUUUGCUCCAACCCGCUCUAGUCCAUAUGCUAUUUAUAGCAGAUGACCCCCUAACCAAAUUUGCCCCAACCCUAAUUUCUAGGAGAUUUGUCCCUGCCGCCGCCGCACUCGUCUCCCACCUCGGGAUCCAUCCCCAUCAAAUCCUUCCCGAGCCCCGAUCCAAUCCUCCAACUAAGCCGUCUCCUCCUCGAUUUGGGCAGCGAGCCAAUCAGCAUUCCCCGAUCCAGGGCGCCCACCUUCUCCCGCAGCCACCACCCAAGCUCGCCCGAGCUCCUCAUUUCCCUGAGCGCACCUCGUGUCGACCUCCAGCCAGCCGGGCCACUGGAGCUCCAUGCCGCCGUCUGACUGCAUCCCGCCACCAGGUCACGACGCCGGCCUCCUCUCUCCCCUUCCUUCUUUUUCUCUCCUCCUCACCUCUCCAUCUCUGUUCCAGGAACAAACAGGGAGCCCACCAUGGUCACGAUCCUGGAGCUCGUCGCUGCCGCCCUUUGCAGAACCUCGUCGCCAGGAGCUCUGAAACGCCGGCCGCUGCUAGGUCCGACCGGGCCCGAGGUCCUUCUUCCAUUCGCCGGCGUUCCCCUUCGGACCCCGUCGCCAUAGCCCCAUCCCCGCUACUCCUCGCCGUCGUCUUCUUCCUGUGCGCCUCCAACGCCAGGUCCGGCCUCUACUUUGAGCAGAGGAGGAGGACGCCCGCGUCUCGCCAUCCGAGCACCGCUACCUGCCCUCGUCCCGUCACCGGCAAGCUCACCGCCCCCGGAUCAACGUCUCACGCCUGCCCGUGCUCGUGCACGCUCGCCUCCACGGGCCGUCUGCAAGCAGCAACGUCAUCGCGAACAAGGUGAGGCACGCAGCUGCCUCGCGCGCCACUCCCAUUCCUAUCUUUUCUUCUCUCAUCUCGCCAUCUCUCUCUAUGUUGCCUCAGACUGAAGCCGAUCGAGAGCCGCCAUGGCUGCGUCCCCUUCAAGGUGUUGCCUUGUCGUCUUCGGCCCUGCGCAUGAAUGCCUCGCUGCCUUCUAUGUUCGCGUUGACCCCGCAUCGAUCGAGCAGCCACGGCCACAGAGUAAGCUAUCUCUGUUUCAGUUUUCAGUUUCGUCAGAUCAGCGCCAGGGUAUUGUUCAUCUUGCGUAUAAAGGCAUUAUUUAUCAAAUUUCCGUCGUGGCCCACUGGUCACUUGUGCAUACAUCCACCCAGGAGGUCCUUCUUCUUGGCAUGCAUAAUUUCAGUAAAUGUCAUCAUUUCAAAAUGCUAAUAACUCAAUAACCGUGCAUCAGUUUAAAAUGAUCUAUUAUAUGUAAAAUGCUUAGAAUUUCAUCUAGUUUCAUAAUAUGCUGCUUUGGUUCAUGUUUAAAAUGUUUAAGAUGGUGUUUACAUUUAAUUUGCAUAAAUGCCAUGCUAAAUGCUUUAUUUCAUAACUAAAUAACCGUAGCUCCAUUUUAAAUAAACUUUAUAUGAAAAUGGGGUAGAAAAAUGCAUAGAUUAACAUGGUGCACUUUAUUUCCCUGUUUAACAACAUUAAAAUGGUGUUUUAGGCAGAACAGUAGCAAACUUGAAAUAUGGACAUGAGGAUUUUCCGGAAUUGUAGUUUGUUGUUCCGGCCUCAUUUAAACUUGCCUAGAUAAGUAGUUUUCAUAUGCUUCACCCCUUGCCAUGUUUAAUAAAAUUUUAUAUUGUUGGGUACAUAAACGAGAGAGAACUAAAUAAUUGAUGUGGUGUUUCAUCAAUAUGCAACUCGUUGCAUAUUGAGCUCCACUUAACUUGUAUUAUUGUUUGUGCACUUUGCCAUGCCAUGCCUCAUGAAACCGGACAUGCAUCAUGCUUGAUUGUGCAUCAUGCCAUGUUUAUGUGAUGGUUGUUUACCAUGAUGUUUGCUUCUUUCCAGUUGCGCUUCUCCUUGAUAGUUCUAGUUACGUUGUGAUUGUGAGGAUAUGUUCGACUACGUCUGUUUGUCUUCUUCAUGGACUCGUUCUUCUUCCUUGCGGGAUUUCAGGCAAGAUGACCAUUACUCUCGAUAUCACUUCUAUCUUUGCUUGCUAGUUGUUCGCUCUAUCGUUAUGCUACCUACCACUUGUUUAUCAUGCCUCCCAUAUUGCCAUGUCAAGCCUCUAACCCACCUUCCUAGCACACCGUUGUUUGGCUAUGUUACCGCUUUUGCCCAGCCCCUCUUAUAGCGUUGUUAGUUGUAGGUGAAGUUGAAGAUUGCUCCAUGUUGGAACAUGAUUAUGUUGGGAUAUCACUAUAUCUCUUAUUUAACUAAUGCAUCUAUAUACUUGGUAAAGGGUGCAAGGCUCGCCCUUAUGCCUGGUGUUUUGUUCCACUCUUGCCGCCCUAGUUUCCGUCAUACCGGUGUUAUGUUCCUUGAUUUUGCGUUCCUCACGCGGUUGGGGUUAUGGGACCCCCUUGACAGUUCGCUUUGAAUAAAACUCCUCCAGCAAGGCCCAACAUUGGUUUUCCAUUUGCCUACCACCUAUUCUUUUCCCUUGGGAGCUGCAGCCCCGAGGGUCAUCUUUAUUUUAACCCCCCCCCCCCCCGGCCAGUGCUCCUCUGAGUGUUUGUCCAAACUAGAGCACCGUGCGGGGCCACCCCUUGGCAACUUGGGGUAUCUGGUAUAUACCUGUACACUUCGCUCAUCCAGUGUACCCUGAGAACGAGACCGCGCACCUCCUAUCAGGCUAGGUCGGUGCAUCGGGAGGUCUUGCGGACUUGUUUUACCAUUGCCGAAAUGUCUUGUAACCGGGAUUCUUAGUCUGAUCGGGUUGUUCCGAGAGAAGGAAUAUCCUUCGUUGAUCGUGAGAGCUUGUGAUGGGCUAAGUUGGGACACCCCUGCAGGGUAUAAACUUUCGAGAGCCGUGCCCGCGGUUAUGUGGUAGAUGGGAAUUUGUUAAUAUCCAGUUGUAGAGAAAUUGACACUUGACUUAAUUAAAAUGAACCAACCGCGUGUGUAGCCGUGAUGGUCUCUUUUCGGCGGAGUCCGGGAAGUGAACACGGUUUGGGUUAUGUAUGAACGUAAGUAGUUUCAGGAUCACUUCUAGCUUCACGACCGUUGCGUAGUUUCUCAUCUUACUCUUGUACCCGUAUGUUAGCCACCAUAUCUGCUUAGCGCUUGCUGCAACUCCACCUCAUCACCUUACCCUACCCAUAAACUUAAAUAGUCUUGAUCUCGAGGGUUUUGAGAUUGCUGAGUCCUCGUGACUCGCAGAUACUACCAAAACAAGUGCAGGUGCCGAUGAUACCAGUGCAGGUGAUGCUACCGAACUCAAGUGUGAGUUCGACGAGGACCUUGGUCGUUACUAUGUUUCGUUUCCUGAUGAUCAGUAGUGGAGCCCAGUUGGGACGAUCGGGGAUCUAGCAGUUGGAUUUAUCUUCUUUUUAUUUGGAUUUGUCCGUAGUCGGACUAUGUGCGUACUCUGAAUGAUGUAUGUUUAACUUGAUCAUUGUGUGAAGUGGCGAUUGUAAGCCAACUAUUUCUUCUAUCCUUGUUCUUGUACAUGGGAUUGUGUGAAGAUGACCCUUCUUACGACAAAACCAAAAUGCGGUUAUGCCUCUAAGUCGUGCCUCGACACGUGGGAGAUAUAGCCGCAUCUUGGGAGUUACAAGUUGGUAAUCAGAGCCAUCCCCGACUUAGGAGCCCCUUGCUUGAUCGAAUCGCUGACGUUGUUGAGUCUAGAACAAAAAUGUUUUGAGUCUUAGGAUUAUAUAUAUCGGAGAGUAGGAUUCUUUUACUCCUCAGCCCCUUCGUCACUCUGGUGAGGCCUCAUGACGUAGAUGUUUUGACUUUUCUCUCCUCAAAUUUCACAAAAAAAUUAGGAUCACGCGGGUAUCUUGGGAUCGUUCCGAUAUUCUUGUGACGAGAACAUUGUUCUUGGUGCCUCCUGACAUUUAGGGGUUGUGGCAGUGUCCCGGGGAGUUGAGCUCCGAGGUGUUGUCGUCACAAUUUUAUUGUUGCAGUUCUGGAAUACCUAAGUUUCGCCGACAUCGAAAAUCUCUUUUAUGCAGUUGUUGGUGAGAUAACCUCGACGCCACCCAGUAUUGGGGCGGGAGUUCGGGAGUAUUGCCAUAGCUCGAAUAACGGAUGCUUUUCGAAGGUUGAGGUACACGAUUUCCGGAGUUUUCUUGGUUAUGUGUUGAUGGAUGGAUACAGCUAGAUGUAGGGAUUGUUAGUUUGGGUGAGAUACUGUGCUUCCCCUGUAUCUCCAACACCAGAUUGCAUAACCAGAAAGUUUCGGAAGUUUAUAGGUGGGAAUUCAAGUAGCUCCUAGAAUAUCUUUCCGACAAAUGCAUGAUAUGGGAUUGGGUAAAUCUCUAUGAUAUGUUUGUUUCUGGCUAAUUUUCCAAGCCAAAUCCUUUGUUUGGUUUUGAGUAGUGGUAUUUGAGUUGAUUCGAUGUCAAGUGUUGAUCCAUACCUUCCCUAAGCGGUGUUCUCAUAUUUUUAUGUGAAUACUAAUCCUUCUUGAUCAUUGAGGUUGUCAUGUCAAUUCUUUUCCAACCGGCGUGUUUCUCUUCAAGUGCAUCCGAUCAUUCCAACAUUCGGAAGAUCAAUUCUAAGUUUUUUCUCAACGGUAUCCAUUCCAUCUGUCCCAAGUUGCCUUUGUUUUCCCGCCCUCCCACCCUUUUUCUUCAAGAACUCAGAUUUCUUAAUCAAGUAUCCUUUUAUUGAUGGGAAGUCUCUCCAUUCUUUUCCGUCAAUGUUCUUAUCCGGUGAUUCUCUGAAGAUACUAAGGAAGCUUCAAGUUCAUCAUUCUUCGUUCUCUUUUCUUCUCCGGUGGAUUCAAUUCAAGCUUUCAGUGUUGAUCAUAUUCAUUCACUCGUGUCAAAUGCUUUCUCAUGUCGGUGCAUCUCUUUAUCAUCCACCUCUUGCUAUUCAUGUUAUCUGGAGUGCUGAAGAUAUCCCAGAAGAUUCAAGUUUCCAGUCUUAUUCCUGCCAAUCUAUUUCGAGGUUGUUACCUCAUUCAAGACGUUCAAAUCAACCGGUGCAUUAUCUCUUCCUAAGCAAUCACUCGACGGUGUUUUCUUUUUAGUGGGCCCUAACCCACAGGUCUUUUCCCAGGAUCUUACCUGACUCUUCUAAUUUAUCCGGAGCGAUUCUCAAAUUCUUUCAAAGUUCGACAUAAGAAUGAUUUCUCAUUAGUCAAAUGUGUCCUCCAAGUUCGCUUUCAUAUUCUUUUCAUUGUUGGUUCAACCUUUCCAUUCUUCAUUCCGGUGUGCCUCAACAAUUCAUGGUGGUGUUUCUCAUCUCUUUCUCAACAUUUGAAGACCGAAGAAGAGUUUCUCUUCAAUCUUAUCCGUUCUCUCAAAGAUGUGUGGUUCUAACUUGUUGCCAUCCUCUCAUAAUGGUUUCUAUCGUGAGAAAUUCUUUUCACCCAUCCGGAGUAAUUCAAGAGUCUCUUCAGAUUGAUUCUCCGUAGCCCAUCA
rnacentral:lncRNA from 1 species